ACUGAUAGCUCAUUAUUAUGCCAAUUUGGUGGUUUAUUACGAGCCCAGGUUUCUUUGCUGCGAAGCGCUUCUCGUGCCCUUU